UACGUAGGGUGCAAGCGUUGUCCGGAAUUAUUGGGCGUAAAGAGCUCGUAGGUGGUUUGUCGCGUCGGCUGUGAAAACUCGGGGCUCAACCCCGAGCCUGCAGUUCGAUACGGGCAGACUUGAGUGCGGUAGGGGAGACUGGAAUUCCUGGUGUAGCGGUGAAAUGCGCAGAUAUCAGGAGGAACACCGGCGGCGAAGGCGGGUCUCUGGGCCGUAACUGACACUGAGGAGCGAAAGCGUGGGGAGCGAACAGG
rnacentral:rRNA from 1 species